CCCCAAUGAAGUCGUAUCAUCCAAGGUCGACUUCAGACUGCUGUGCUGACAGCGAGAAUUUCAAGCGAGUGGAUCUUAGCUUGCUGGGCUCCAUAGGGGUGCCACCAGUUGAACAAGACCACUUGGCUCCCUGGCUUCAGUCCCCUUUCCAGGGGAGUGAACAGUUCUGUCUUGCUGGGGUUCCAGGUACCACUGGGGUAUGGAAAAAAAAUCUCCUGCAGCUAGCUCAGUGUCUGCCCAAACAGCCACCCAGUUUUGUGCUUGAAACCCAGGGCCCUAGCUGUACAGGCACCCGAGGGAAUCUCCUGGUCUGUGGGAUGUAGAAACUAUGGGAAAAGUGUAGUAUCUGGGCCACAGAGCACAGUCCCUCAUGACUUCCCUUGGUUGGGGAGGAAGUUCUCCAGCCCCUUGUGCUUCCUGGGUGAGGCAAUGCCUCCUGCUCCCCCUCCAUGGGCUGUACCCACUGUCUAACCAAUCCCAAUGAGAGGAACCAGGUACCUCUGUUGGAAAUGCAGAAAUCACCUGCCUUCUGCAUUGGUCUCACUGGGAGCUGCAGACCG
rnacentral:lncRNA from 10 species